GGGCGGGUGGUCUAGGGGUUAUGAUGCCGCGCUUACAACGCGGAGGUCGAGGGUUCAAGACCCUCCCCGCCCACCA
rnacentral:tRNA from 1 species